rnacentral:rRNA from 1 species
AAUCGCCAUGUAAUCUUGUGGCUGGAAUGAACGGUUUUACAAAUCUUCCACUGUCUCAGCUUUACCCCUACUGAAAUUGAAUAUGCUGUGAAGAUGCAGCUUAUACUUGGAAGGACGAGAAGACCCCGUUGAGCUUAACCUCCCUCCUUUACCUCCAUUUAAAGCCUUAGGGAGACACGAGUACUGAGGGGAGAGGGGUUUGGUUGGGGCGACCACCUAAAUAGUAGUAACUUAGGUAAACUAAGGUUAAUUACCAAUAUAGUAAGCUUGAUUAAUAGACCGAUAGGUUAGUUAGAUAGCAGUUAUAGCUAAGUUAUAGUGACCCUCCGUUCUAUGGAGAAAUUAGAUAAAAGUUACCACGGGGAUAACAGGGUUAUCUGGCUACAAAGUCCAUAUUGAAAGCUAGGUUUGCCACCUCGAUGUUGAA